rnacentral:rRNA from 1 species
AGUAUUUUGACUAUACAAAGGUAUUGAAAUAAGACUUUAAUUGAGUGCUAAGAGAAUGGAAUUUCAUAAAAUUUCUUUUUUAAUUUUAAAAAUUGAAAUUAAUUUUAUAUGUGAAGAAACAAUAAUAAAAAUUAAGGACAAGAAGACCCUAAGAAUUUUAAAAAUUUCAAUAAAAUUCAGCAUUUUAUUGAAAUUUUUUAAUUGGGGCGAUUAUUAAAUAUUAAAAACUUUAAUUUUUUUAAAAAAGAACCAAUAAUAUUGGUUAUUUGAAAAAAUACUCUAGGGAUAACAGCGUAAUAAUUUUUGAUAGUUCUUAUAGACAAAAUAGUUUGCGACCUCGAUGUUGGAUUAGGAUUCUUUUUUAAUGAAGAAGUUAAAAAAAGAAGUUUGUUCAACUUUUAAAAUCCU